UACCAGCACCCCGAGUGGUCGGGACGUUUAUUGGGCCUAAAGCAUCCGCAGCCGGUUCUACAAGUCUUCCGUUAAAUCCACCUGCUUAACAGAUGGGCUGCGGAAGAUACUAUGGAGCUAGGAGGCGGGAGAGGCAAGCGGUACUCGAUGGGUAGGGGUAAAAUCCGUUGAUCCAUUGAAGACCACCAGUGGCGAAGGCGGCUUGCCAGAACGCGCUCGACGGUGAGGGAUGAAAGCUGGGGGAGCAAACCGG
rnacentral:rRNA from 1 species